UCCCUGAAGGUCCAGUGGCUAAGACUCUGAGCUUCCAGUGCAGAAGGGCCGGGUUCAAUCCCUGAUCAGGGAA
rnacentral:tRNA from 1 species